AAAGAUCGAUACCGAGGGGGACACGACGCCCCGGAGACACCCCUGCUUCGUCAGGCAGUCUGUACUGCGUACAGCCUGAAACUCCCUAAACCUCAACAGACUGCCACUCCGGCGUGAAGGUAUCGUUCU
ncrna:Shigella boydii ATCC 9905 EFASI RNA